rnacentral:tRNA from 1 species
CAAAAUAAAGCUUGUAAGUUAAGUAUUUCAUUUACAUUGAGAAGAUUUUUGUGCAAAUCAAAUUAUUUUGA